UGUCAUCCAAUUUAUCUCAAAUCCCAAUCUCUUUUUCUCUCUCUACCAAUAUUCCCCCUAAAAUUCUCUCUCUCUCUCUCAUCUUUUCUGUCAUGAAAAUUCUCUCAUGCGUGGGUCCAUAGAAUGAGACACUGAGGUCGCAAACAUUCCAACGUACUAUAAAAUAUUAGGACCGUAACUUUCUCAGGUCAUAGAAAUUUGCCAAAAGAUUUCCUGCCCCCACGGCAAUAUACUAUCCAUCUACUCCCACAGGCAAAACUUAUGCUACUAGUAUUUUUAAAUCUCAAAUUUUACGGAUGCAAUCCCAUUUACGCUAGGGAUAUUUUUUAGAGCUCAAAUUUUAAU
rnacentral:lncRNA from 1 species